CCACUACACCAGCAGCUGGGGAGCGUUUGUGGAGCGCGAUGAGACACAGUAACAGUGGAGCUGUCGCCGCCUGUUGAACACCGUCAGUGCCAGUGGGGCAACAGAGUGGCCGUUGAGUGCCAACGGAUUGGAACGCAUUCCCGAAGUUCUAUAUAGUGAUCUGCUCCCGCAUUGUCCCGGGGUUGUUUUCCAACUGGGCGCCAAAUGUGUUUUACUUACCCACUUUCGCCGUUACAAAUGAAAAUGAAAAGUGUUCUGGAGAGUUGCUAUCGCGCCAGGCCGGGGAGCUGCAACAAUUGUGCAAAUAUCACUUGAAUGCAAAUUUAAUAAAUAUGGACUUCACGUUUUGUUUGCAUUCAAUUUGUGGAAUUGCGAUGUAGUGGAAACGAUAAUAAUUUGAAAUUUCAAGCAUCACCCACUCCUGCAAAUAUUGAUUGCAUGCCCCGCAUUUCCAAUGAUCUAUGUAUGAUGGAAAUGCUCGUGUUGCUCCGGAAAGCCUUGUGGAUUCCAGGAAUUAUCUUUUCAUGAUAAGCAGUGUUGGCUAACUGAAAGCAAAUACUAUAACAAUUAUAAUCUAAUGUUCAUAGAAGGACGAAACCUCUGCGAUUAUAUGCCCUUCAGAUUCGAAAUAUAGUACCUUGCCUCAUCUGACUUAUCCUAGCAGCAUGUUCCUAGGUAGCACCUGAUGAGUACGUCCAUAUUAAAUAGGACCACUUCCUUCGUCGUGGUGGUUGAGAUAAAAAGAUUUCCAAUUUCAUCAUGAUUUUGACACAAAACUGUCAAUAUCUACAGAAUGUAUAUUCCAAUGUUCUUAGCGACGAAAUAAUUAAAAAAACCGCGACGUAAAUAUGAGGGCUUGCCAAGAUUUAAUGAGGGGCAUAAAUUGUUCCCGAAAUAUAGUAUUUAAGGAAAAUCAAUAUCUUACAAGCCAUGAACAUGUGGCCAUUAUAUUUUUCAAUGUAUAUAAGGAUUUAAGGAUAGUUUUCCUCAUUUGAAUUUAAUUAACAUUAAAACAUUGUAUCUGUACUGUAAUUGCACAAAGCCCUGCGCUGAAAUAAGACCUACAAUUGACUUCCGGAUUCAAAUAACUAUUCAAAUGAAUACUAUCUGAAAUUCUAUCUUUAAAAAUAUUAUUCCUAAAAUGAUUCAAUAUCAAUUUAUUCACUGUUUUACCGGAAAUAAUUGUAGUUCUAUCGAAACUAGUUAUGUCCUAACAGCAAAGUAUAUUUAGGAUUUUU